GACGAACGCUGGCGGCGUGCUUAACACAUGCAAGUCGAACGGUGAAGGGACCAGCUUGCUGGUUCUGGAUGAGUGGCGAACGGGUGAGUAACACGUGAGUAACCUGCCCCCUUCUUCUGGAUAACCGCAUGAAAGUGUGGCUAAUACGGGAUAUUCUGGGUCUGUCGCAUGGCGGGCCCGGGAAAGAUAUUGCUUCGGUGGGGGAUGGGCUCGCGGCCUAUCAGCUUGUUGGUGGGGUGAUGGCCUACCAAGGCGGUGACGGGUAGCCGGCCUGAGAGGGGGGACGGUCACACUGGGACUGAGACACGGCCCAGACUCCUACGGGAGGCAGCAGUGGGGAAUAUUGCACAAUGGGCGCAAGCCUGAUGCAGCGACGCCGCGUGAGGGAGGGAGGCCUUCGGGUUGUAAACCUCUUUCGCCAGUGAAGCAGGCCUGCUCCUUGUGGGUGGGUUGACGGUAGCUGGAUAAGAAGCGCCGGCUAACUACGUG
rnacentral:rRNA from 1 species